rnacentral:rRNA from 1 species
AUGAACGCUGGCGGCGUGCCUCAUACCUGCCAGUCGAGCGCACAGACGAGGAGCUUGCUCCUCUGACGUUAGCGGCGGACGGGUGAGUAACACGUGGAUAACCUACCUAUAAGACUGGGAUAACUUCGGGAAACCGGAGCUAAUACCGGAUAAUAUAUUGAACCGCAUGGUUCAAUAGUGAAAGACGGUUUUGCUGUCACUUAUAGAUGGAUCCGCGCCGCAUUAGCUAGUUGGUAAGGUAACGGCUUACCAAGGCAACGAUGCGUAGCCGACCUGAGAGGGGGGUGGGCCAAACGGAAAUUGGAGCAGGGCCCAGACCCUUAGGGGAGGGAAGAGGAGGGAACUUUGCCGAAGGGGCGAAAGCGUGAAGGAGGAACGCCGGGGGAGAGAGGAAGGUCUCGGGAGCGAAAAACUUUGUUAUGAGGGAAGAAAAAAUGUGAAAGUAAAUAUGCAGGUCUGGACGGGACCAAAGCAAAAAGCCCCGGCCAAUUACGG